GUUGACACAAUGCAGGAGAUUGCUUUUGGAACUUCCAAAUGGCUCCUUCCUGUAGGACAGUGAGGGAGAAUGAACCCCCCCAAUCCCAACUGGCACGCACACUGAAGCUUGACAGGUUGUGAACUCCGAAAGCCUUCAGUGGCCAUUGCACUGCAAGUCUCCAUAUUCUAACAAAUGAGGCCUAUGCAAUCAUGUUGUGGAGGGAAGCAGCCAUUUCAACACGGGCUAGAACAAGGUUUCCAGCACAGAAAAGAAUAAUAAGAUGGUCCUCCUAAGAAUCCAUUUUGUGAAAUGACUUCAAUUCAAAAAUUCAACUUAUUUCCUGCGUUCAGACAGAGAGCAUCUUCUCUCGUGCGGAGGAUUUAACACACGAUGGUGAACAAGAACAUCAGCUUCUGGCCAAAAUGAAUGUGGCUGGAAAGCCGUGUUGAAAUCAAUCACAGGCACAGCUGGGACUCCUUGGAGCUGUCAGGAAAUGGAAUGGAGUCAGUGUUGCUUUGGAGAGCCUCUGACCUGGAGGCCAGGGCCCAUCGGCAUGAGUCUGUUAGUGCUAACCUGCAGCCGAGUGGUUUGAAACCCAGUCACUUCAGCACUCCUGGAGAAGGUCUUGAUCACUAUCACUGGACAUCAGGGAGCUGCAAGGCUACUCUGGCAUGUGAUCCAGUGUAAAACACACACAUAAAUGUCUAUCAACCUUUCCCACUUGGUCAAGUUUGCAUCAGCCUAUUACAAGGAGAAAUGCAUGAGACUGGACAGGAGGGAGACUCUCUGCCCACCCCUUCAUAUUGGACAGUCUCUUUCUUUAACUGAUUUUGUCAGUUUAGCCAACACUUUGGCCUGCCAUGGAGCAUGGCACAAAUGGUGCAGGGGGAUUAUGUGAGCACAGGCAGCAGAAAAAUAUCCAAGUCUAUGGCUUUAGAUUUUUUUUCUUCAGAUAACUGGAUUCAAAAUAAAACAUACAAAUUUCCAGUGCUCUUUUCCCAUAAGACACUGAAGAGUCUAGAGGUAGUGAAAGUCCAAGUCAAGAUCUAUAGACCAUGUUGCAGCCCUGAGUUAUUUCUUCCUGAAGGCUAAUGAGAUGUUUUCACAGAGAUAUUUUGUCUCCAUCUUUUCUUUCCAAGUUUCCCAGGAACUAACCAACCUAACUCUAGUUUCUGUUCCCACUUGCUUUUUCACCCUGGCAAUCUUAAUUCUGGGUCUCUGGAAAAUACUAAAGACACACAUCCAUUCAUUCAUCAAAUAUACUUAGAAGCAGCUGGUACAGAAUGUUUAAGCUAGUGAGGAAGAUAGUAAUAAGCUGAUACUUGUUUCUUCCCUUUGACUUCUUUAUUUUUAUGUUUAUUUAUUUUUGAGAAACAGAGAGCACAUGUGCCUGUGUUGCGGGGAGGGGCAGAGAGAGAGAGGGAGACAGAGAAUCCCAAGCAGGCUGAACGCAGAGCUGGAACACACAAACCAGGAGAUCAUGGUCUGAGCAGAAAUCAAGGGUUAGAUGAUAAACUGACUAAACCAGCUACCCUUAAACUUCUAAGCAGAGACAAAUGCUUUCAUUUUUUAACAUGUUUUCAUGUGUGACUUUGGAGUUAAAUGGGAUUAGUUAAUAUCAUAGCAAAUAUAUGGGAAUUAGUUACCUCCAAUUCUGAAUAGCCACUUAUCACAGCCAAGAACUCUCGUAUUGAGGAAGCAAGGGAAAUAAAUACUCCAACCUCUUUUUCCUUUACAAUUUCCUGUUGAUUCCACCUAAUGGUGAAACUAAACUAAACUAAACUAAACUAAACUAAACUAAACUAAACUAAACUAAACUAAAGCAAGAAAGCCAUGGGGCCUGUUUGAAGCAUUCCGUAGGCAUCAGCCUCCUGGAGUUCAGAGGACAGAAAAGAGGGAGGCAAGGUUAAAUGACAAUAUACAGAACACAUAUUGCAAAGUGUGUGGAAGGCUUGAUUAAACUUCUAUGAUCAAGUGUCUCAAAUUCCAAUCCUUGAACUUUUUUUGUAUGCUCACUCCCUAGAUGAUUUCAUCCAAUCCUUGUCUUCGAAUACCAUGUAUAUUCUGAUGACUCUCAAAUUUCCCCCUACUUUUUCCCAAGUUCCAGCUGUGAACCUGACAUCCACAUGAGGAUGUUUCAAAUUCCACCCCUGCCCCCAACAGAAAUCUACUCUAUGCAUCCCUGCUGCAUCCUUCCAUGUUCCCCAAAUCACUAAGGGAUAACAUCAUUGCCCUGGUUGCUCAGGUCAUAUAUAGCGAGCCAUCCUUAAAUUACUUCUUUUUUCUCGCACUCCUCAUUUCCAACACUACAUUCAAAAUGUAGCCUAAAUUUAUCUAAAUCUUCCUUCCUGUACAAUGACUGAGUUUAAGAUUACAUCCUGGCAAAUGCCACCAAAGUUCUCUUUCUGCUCCAUUUUUGUUCCUUCCCAUGGCCAGUAUAGUCAUUUCUUCAUGGAAACCUAACUACUGUCUUCUAAAAGACCCUCGUGGCUUCCAGUAAUACUCCGAAUAAAUGAUAAACUCCUGACCCUGGACCUCCAAAGACCCACCUGAUUUGGACCUUUUCUAUGUCUUAGACUUCAUAUUCUUUACUCUUCAUUUAUUCUCUUUAAACCCCACUGGCUUUCUUGCUGUUUCUCAAAACAUCAGGGUUAUUCCAGUUUGGGGGCAUUUUCACUAGCUCUUUCUUUUGUCUACUAUGCUUUGUCUCCACAUUCCAUAUAGUUCCUUCUACCUCUCAAUUCAUUUCUCUUCCCAUAUGUUACCUCUGGGUCUCUCCUAACCUCCUCAAUCUAAAAUAACCUUUCUUCAUUAAUUUUCCUUAUAGAAUGUAUUACCAUUUGAAGUUAUUCUAAAUCAUAUCAUAUUAUAUUUAUA